AAGGGAUUUCCACUCAUUAUUAUGAGAUGUUUCGAAUGGAAAAACAUAUUUUUCAUAAACUUUGCAAUGAAUUGCUGGAACAUGAUUUAAAGUCUUCUAAACAUAUGUUGAAGAAAUGGUUGCAAUGUUUUUGGUCGUUGUAGGCCAUGGUGUCGAUAGUAGAAUGAUUCAAGAAAGAUUUCAACAUUCGGGUGAGACUGUAAGUACACAUUUCCAUCGUGUACUUCAUGCAUGCCUUGAGUUAUCCUUCAAAUAUAUUAAACCCGAAGAUCCUAUAUUUCGUGAUUGUCAUGCCAAAAUAAAAAAUGAUCAACGUUAUUGGCCUUUUUUUAAGAAUGCUAUAGGAGCAAUUGAUGGUACACAUGUGUCAUGUGUAGUUAGUGCUAGUGAGAAACCAAGGUUUAUUGGAAGAAAAGGAUAUCCAACACAAAAUAUUAUGGUUGUAUGUGAUUAAAAUAUGUGUUUCACUUUUGUAUUAUCUGGUUGGGAAAGCACUGCCCCAUGAUGCCCAUGUUUUUGGACAAAGCUCUUACUAUUGCUAACCUUAACUUUCUGCAUCCUCGUCAAGGUAAGUAUUAUUUGGUGGAUUUUGGUUAUCCAACACCAAUAGGUACAUCGGUCCAUAUAGAUGUGAACGUUAUCAUCUUCUUGAAUUAAGGCAUUCAGGUGGGUUCGAAAAUCAUAAUGAAGUAUUCAAUUACUAUCACUCAAGUUUAGGAUGCACAAUUGAAAAAA